AGAGACAGCAGCAGCCGCGGUAAUACAGAGGAUGCAAGCGUUAUCCGGAAUGAUUGGGCGUAAAGCGUCUGUAGGUGGCUUUUCAAGUCCGCCGUCAAAUCCCAGGGCUCAACCGUGGACAGGCGGUGGAAACUACCAAGCUGGAGUACGGUAGAGGCAGAGGGAAUUUCCGAUGGAGCGGUGAAAUGCGUUGAGAUCGGAAAGAACACCAACGGAGAAAGCACUCUGCUGGGCCGACACUGACACUGAGAGACGAAAUCUAGGGGAGCAAAUGGGAUUAGAUACCCCAGUAGUCCCUGUCUCUUAUAC
rnacentral:rRNA from 1 species